rnacentral:lncRNA from 1 species
GGUGGGGGGGGCCGGGCGGGGGGGGGCCGCUGAGGGCGGCUGGCUGAACCUGGGCUUCCCGGCCCGUCUGGCUGUUUUGCUUUUCAAACUGGCAGCGGAAAAGUGAGACUCAGCAGUUUAAAAACAAGGCCCUUUGCUCUUUCAGCUCUAAACGGUGUUACUGCUAGUUUUUAAAAACCACCUUCUGCUCUCUGCAGCGCUGGCCGCUUAAACAGGAGCCUGCUCCAGCUGGCCGGAAGGAGACUUUUCUGGAGCAGGUGCAGCCUCUUAGCUUUAAAGCUUCCCACCCUGCCCCUAAGGGACCUCCAGCCUGCCCUGGACAGGGAAGGGGUUAAGGUGACCCUGAGGCUGGGCAGGAUGUGUGGGGGCAGCCGUGGGAGGCCGCAGGAUGCGUGACCACUGGGAGGGGCCAGGCCACAAAAAUAGAUGUGUGUCCGGGGGUGCUGGCGCUGGAGCUGUGAGUCCCUCCCAGGGGACGGGGGACCCCACUGGACAGACUCAUGUUCGACUGUUGGAGGCUCAUCCUUUGCAAGAAAACAGGAAGCGACGAUGCUUCUUCCGAGAAAGGGUCCCAGGAGGCCGAAGAGGAGGACAGCGACCCUCGGGUGGAUGUCCCUGACAGCAUCAGGCUUGUUCCAGACCUGCCAGACGGGCCGCCCCCGACCGCAGGUAGGGCCAGCUGCCUCCUUGGGAUCGGAUGGGGCCUCGGGCCUCCUGGGGGACCAGCAUCCCGGGUCUGGGCGGCAGCUCCCCGGGGCUGCCUGCAGCUCCCCGGGGCUGCCUGCAGCUCCCCGGGGCUGCCUGCAGCUCCCCGGGGCUGCCUGCAGCUCCCCGGGGCUGCCUGCACUUGUGGGCCUACUGGGCCCAGGCCUGUGGGUGAGAUGGCAGUGUGCACGCUUGCCCAUGUGCCUUCCUGGCAGUGAGGCUGAGGCUGGCUCUGGUGAGCUCUCGGGAAGCCAUCUGGGUUUAGAGCCCAGGGCUCCACUUUACCAGGUUUUCAAACUGAAUCACAUAGUUAUACAAAGUAAUUGCUUGCAAGACAGUUUUUAAACUCGUCUUAUUCCAAGCCUGUUUCCCCUCUCAUUUCUUAUUUUGAGCAUCUGUACUUUCUCUUUUUCUUCACUGGAUUAGCUCACAGAUCGAUUUUGUGGAUUUUGUUUCCAGAAGCCAGUUUUUAGGUAAUUGUACUGACUUUCCAAGCGUGUCCCCCCUGAGCCCACCCGAGCCCCCUUGCCCUGUACCCCUCCCGCGUGACUCCGGCGCCCGUCUUCCCCUUGCCCCCCGGGUCUUCAUUCUCCUAGGAGCCGCGUCCAGAGGGGCCGCAGAGCACCCCCACACCCCGCGGCCUCCCUGCACCUGCACCAGCCCCUCGGGGCCCUUGGACGCCCCUGGCUCUGGGAUGUGCGUGGAGGCCACUUAAUUGCAUAAGAUUUCCCUGGAAUGUAAGAAUCACACAGCAGGACUUUCAGUCUUUAUGCGUCUUCCUAACUAUGUAUUCCAAAAGUGACCAUCCGGUCAGGGUUUGCAGUGUUCAUUUUAAAACGCAAUUUUCAUGCGAAACUCUUAGAAGCUGUGGUUUUGCUUUGAAAAACGGCGCGUAAACUGCAGGCUUCGGUGGCAGCUGUGACUGCGUCGGUGUCCCUGUGGUCUGUUUGUGGUCCUGUUUUGCCUGCUUUAAAAUCCGAUCUGGACGUUCAGCCUGGCGACGUCUUCAGUCACGCUCUGGGAAAUAGCAUUCAUUCAUUCCGUCAGCACCACCUGCCACUCUGAAAUGCGGUUGUUUGCCUGUGAAAUUAAGUGGACCGCGAAAUGGGUUUGAGGUGCAGUGUUCCUCGUCUCCACGCCUUGAAGGCCAGCAACCCGUGUGAUGUCUCUGUGUGACUUCUGCUCCUUCGGGGGGCAGGGCUUGGCCUCUCAUCAUUCACGUUCCUUCUCUUCUGAAACAAGCAGACCGGCCCAGUAGCUCCGUGCCCUGCAGGAAACGCCGUGCCUCCCGUGACUUUCGCCCCCUCUCGGUUGGCCCCCUGCAGCUGGGACCUUUUUUGUUUUCUGAGGGUGGAAACGGGAAGGCAGUCGGGACCCCUGGAGAGCUGGGUGGUUAAGGGGAAGGGGCUGCGGCCAGCAGCCCCAGGAGGCCUGGCUCACCCGCCUCUGUGGCCGGGAGGCAGGUGGGGGGCGCUGGGUCUCCAGGACUCNNNNNNNNNNNNNNNNNNNNNNNNNNNNNNNNNNNNNNNNNNNNNNNNNNNNNNNNNGUUUGUGGGGGGGGGGUGGAGGCGGGAAGGCGGUCGGGCCCGCUGGGGAGCUGGGCGGUUAAGGGGAAGGGGCUGCGGCCAGCAGGCCCAGGAGGCCUGGGCCGUGCAGCCCUCAUGGAGGGUGGCCGGGCCCGCUGUCCACAGACUGAGGUGUCGGGCAGGCGGGGUCCACUGGGCGUCCUGAGCGCACACAGCUCUGAACCGAGGGCAGCCCCACGCUGGUGUGGGCAGGGCUGGGCUCGCCUGGGCCUUUGAGGGGUCACCUGCAGGCUGGGGGCGUGGCGCCAGGCGCUGGCUCAGGAGCUCCAACAGGUCAGUGGGCAGGAGCAGGGGUCUCUGGGCACUCACCUGGGAGCUGGGGCGGAGGGGCUCACCAGGAAGCAGGGCCCUCACGGUGAAGCAGGCCCAGAGGGGGCUGCCCCAGGGCCUGAGGGUCUGAGACCCAGCAUAGCCUCGAGGAGCAGCGGGACGGGGCCCUGGGGUGCGAGAGGGGUGCGCUGCAGGCCUCGAGGGGCUGCUCGUGACCUGCGGAGACUCUGCAGAGAAGACAGGUCCCCAGGCCCGGGGAGCAGCCGGGCACCCAGCCGACCCGGCGCGAAUCAGAGUUGGCCUCUGAAUAAUGCAGGGCUGUGAGCCGCAUCGCAGCCAGAGCUGCUGGCUGUCCCGUGCUUGCAUUUAGACGAACGCAGGGUGUCUGGGUUCGCCUGAGACCACACGUAGGGGGAGAGACGCAGGGCGGGGUGCGCGUGGAGGCCUUGCGCUGUUCCGCUGCUCCUGUGUCUGAAGCCUCUGCUGUGAACGGAAGAUCCCCCUGGAACGUCACUUGCAUGGCGGGGACCCCGACCCUCGUCAUCAGCGGUCGGUCAGCUCAGUCGGGGCCAGUUCUGGGUGCAGUCGUAUCCCUGGGGCCUCUUGGAGACCAGGGUUCUCCCGUCCAACCAGGCCAGCAGUUACCAGACGCGAAAGUAACGGAACAGUUUUCACCUUUCAAGGAACUCUGGGGCUUUUUCCCUUCUUAACAGAAAAGCUGUGGCGACUCUGCUCCGAGUGCGUCUUCAGCCGCUCUCAGCUGCUGCGGCAGGCGGGUGGGGUGGCGCCGCCUGCCUUUCCUGACGCGUGUGUGGGACGAGGACUCGCAGGCCUCGGGGCUUGCG